rnacentral:rRNA from 1 species
CAAAGAUUAAGCCAUGCAUGUCUCAGUACGAGCUAAAUUAAAGUGAAACCGCGAAAGGCUCAUUAAAUCAGUUAUGGUUCCUUAGAUGGUACAAACAGUUACUUGGAUAACUGUGGUAAUUCUAGAGCUAAUACAUGCAAAUAGAGUCCCAACCAUUCUGUGGAAGGGACGCGUUUAUUAGAUCAAAACCAAUCGGAUCAUUUAUGGUCUGUUGCGCUUGGUGACUCUGAAUAACUUUGGGCUGAUCGCAUGGUCUUGUACCGGCGACGCAUCUUUCAAAUGUCUGCCUUAUCAACUGUCGAUGGUAGGUUCUGCGCCUACCAUGGUUGUAACGGGUAACGGGGAAUCAGGGUUCGAUUCCGGAGAGGGAGCCUGAGAGACAGCUACCACAUCCAAGGAAGGCAGCAGGCGCGCAAAUUACCCACUCCCAGCACGGGGAGGUAGUGACGAAAAAUAACGAUGCAGAACUCUUUCCGAGGCUCUGCAAUCGGAAUGAGUACACUCUAAAUCAUUUAACGAGUAUCCAUUGGAGGGCAAGUCUGGUG